UGGGGAAUCUUGCGCAAUGGGCGAAAGCCUGACGUAGCAACGCCGCGUGGGGGAUGAAUGCCUUCGGGUUGUAAACCCCUUCCAGCAGGAACGAAAUUGACGGUACCUGCAGAAGAAGCCCCGGCCAACUACGUGCCAGCAGCCGCGGUAAUACGUAGGGGGCGAGCGUUGUCCGGAUUUAUUGGGCGUAAAGAGCUCGUAGGCGGCUUGGCAAGUCAGGUGUGAAAACUUCAGGCUCAACCUGGAGAUUGCACCUGAUACUGCUAUGGCUAGAGUCCGGUAGGGGACCACGGAAUUCCUGGUGUAGCGGUGAAAUGCGCAGAUAUCAGGAGGAACACCGGUGGCGAAGGCGGUGGUCUGGGCCGGCACUGACGCUGAGGAGCGAAAGCGUGGGGAGCAAA
rnacentral:rRNA from 1 species